GGCUGGUCCAAAAUCAGGGUGGUCCAAAAUCUCAAUUAAUUGUUCACAGUCAGUUACAGAUUGAACUCCUUGUUCUACUCUUUCCCCCUUCUCACUAUUGCACUUGACUAGUCUUAA
rnacentral:Y_RNA from 1 species